rnacentral:rRNA from 1 species
GACGAACGCUGGCGGCGUGCCUAACACAUGCAAGUCGAACGGAGAUACGAUUUCGGUUGUAUCUUAGUGGCGAACGGGUGAGUAACGCGUGAGCAACCUGACUCUUAGAGGGGGAUAACACUGGGAAACGAGUGCUAAUACCGCAUAAGACCACGACAUGGCAUCAUGACGAGGUCAAAGGAGCAAUCCGCUGAGAGAGGGGCUCGCGUCCCAUUAGAUAGAUGGCGGGGUAACGGCCCACCAUGUCAACGAUGGGUAGCCGAGCUGAGAGGCUGAUCGGCCAAACGGGAACUGAGACACGGUCCAGACUCCUACGGGAGGCAGCAGUGGGGAAUAUUGGGCAAUGGGCGCAAGCCUGACCCAGCAACGCCGCGUGAGGGAAGAAGGCUUUCGGGUUGUAAACCUCUGUCCUUGGUGACGAAAAAAAUGACGGUAGCCAAGGAGGAAGCCCCGGCUAACUACGUGCCAGCAGCCGCCGUAA